AGACAGAGGUGGCAAGCGUUGUUCGGAUUUACUGGGCUUAAAGGGCGUGUAGGCGUCCCGGUAAGUCAGAUGUGGAAGCCUUGGGCUCAACCCAAGAAUUGCAUUUGAUACUGCCGGGAUUGAGUCGUGCAUGGGAGGGCGGAAUUCCUGGUGUAGCGGUGAAAUGCGUAGAUAUCAGGAGGAAGGCCGGUGGCGAAGGUGGCCCUCUGGGCAAUGACUGACGCUGAGGCGCGAAAGCGUGGGGAGCAAACAGGAUUAGAAACCCGAGUAGUCC
rnacentral:rRNA from 1 species